UUAAUGUCCAGGAGAGUGGCCAGCUGCAUGGCUGGUUGACUAGAGAUUUAUCGGUAUGGGAUGAGCUUGCGUCCGAUUAGCUAGUUGGCGGGGCAACGGCCCACCAAGCCGACGAUCGGUAGCCGGCCUGAGAGGGUGAUCGGCCACAUUGGGACUGAGAUACGGCCCAGACUCCUACGGGAGGCAGCAGUAGGUAAUAUUGCACAAUGGGGGAAACCCUGAUGCAGCAACGCCACGUGUGGGAAGAAGCAUUUCGGUGUGUAAACCACUGUCAUGAGGGAAUUAGGCCCUUAUUCGUAAGGGAUUGAAUGUACCUUGAGAGGAAGCACCGGCAAACUUCGUGCCAGCAGCCGCGGUAAUACGAGGGGUGCAAGCGUUGUUCGGAAUCACUGGGCGUAAAGGGAGCGUAGGCGGAGAUUCAAGCGGAUUGUACAAUCCCGGGGCCCAACCCCGGACCUGCAGUCCGAACUGGGUUUCUUGGAUAGUUCAGGGGCAAGCGGAAUUCCUGGUGUAGCGGUGGAAUGCGUAGAGAUCAGGAAGAACACCGAUGGCGAAGGCAGCUUGCUGGGGACUUAUCGACGCUCAUGCUCGAAAGUGCGGGUAGCAAACAGGAUUAGAUACCCUGGUAGUCCGCACCGUAAACGAUGCAUACUGGGUGUCCGCGGUUCGCCGCGGGUACCGAAGCCAACGCGUUAAGUAUGCCGCCUGGGGAGUACGUACGCAAGUAUGAAACUCAAAGGAAUUGACGGGGGCCCGCACAAGCGGUGGAGCAUGUGGUUUAAUUCGAAGCAACGCGCA
rnacentral:rRNA from 1 species